rnacentral:rRNA from 1 species
GGGAAUUUUCCGCAAUGGGCGAAAGCCUGACGGAGCAACGCCGCGUGAGGGAAGAAGGCCUCUGGGCUGUAAACCUCUUUUCUCAAGGAAGAAGAUCUGACGGUACUUGAGGAAUAAGCCACGGCUAAUUCCGUGCCAGCAGCCGCGGUAAUACGGGAGUGGCAAGCGUUAUCCGGAAUUAUUGGGCGUAAAGCGUCCGCAGGCGGCCUUUCAAGUCUGCUGUUAAAGCGUGGAGCUUAACUCCAUUAAGGCAGUGGAAACUGUUGGGCUUGAGUGUGGUAGGGGCAGAGGGAAUUCCUGGUGUAGCGGUGAAAUGCGUAGAUAUCGGGAAGAACACCAGUGGCGAAGGCGCUCUGCUGGGCCAUAACUGACGCUCAUGGACGAAAGCCAGGGGAGCGAAAGGGAUUAGAUACCCCUGUAGUCA